GGGGAUGAAAGGAUUUCGACGGGGGUCCUGAACCAAGGUAAGCGAGCUGUGGCGAGGCACCACAAUAAAAGCUUCAAGUUUAGAAAUAAACGACAACAAUAAACAAUUAAUCGCUGCUUAACUUUGGCAGCUGUCUCUGUAAGAAGUACUGCGGUCUUACAAGGGGCAUCGAUUAGCAGUAAAUGUGAAUGAGUGACCGCCUUUUAGCUCAUCACACAUUAAAGGGCUACUAAAGCACAAAGCCUGUCGUUAGGCGUUGCGCAGAGGGAAUGUUAAUAUAACGAAUACGCUCGUAGAAAGCUUUGGGAAUAGACUUUCGGACGUGGUUUCGAUUACCACCAUCUCCACCA
rnacentral:tmRNA from 1 species